rnacentral:rRNA from 1 species
ACGUAGGGUGCGAGCGUUAAUCGGAAUAACUGGGCGUAAAGCGCGUGCAGGCGGUUCGCUAAGACAGGUGUGAAAUCCCCGGGCUCAACCUGGGAAUGGCGUUUGAGACUGGCGGACUAGAGUACGGCAGAGGGGGGUAGAAUUCCAGGUGUAGCGGUGAAAUGCGUAGAGAUGUGAAGGAAUACCAAUGGCGAAGGCAGCCCCCUGGGCAGAUACUGACACUCA